CGCAUUUGGCAAGAAUGCCUUUGGGUUGUAAACUCCUUUUCUCAGGGAAGAAGCACUGACGGUACCUGAGGAAUCAGCCUCGGCUAACUCCGUGCCAGCAGCCGCGGUAAUACGGAGGAGGCAAGCGUUAUCCGGAAUUAUUGGGCGUAAAGCGUUCGUAGGCGGCAUUUCAAGUCUGCUGUCAAAGGCCGAGGCUCAACUUCGGAAAGGCAGUGGAAACUGAAAAGCUAGAGGUCGGUAGGGGCAGAGGGAAUUCCCAGUGUAGCGGUGAAAUGCGUAGAUAUUGGGAAGAACACCGGUGGCGAAAGCGCUCUGCUGGGCCGAACCUGACGCUGAGGGACGAAAGCUAGGGGAGCGAAUGGGAUUAGAUACCCCAGUAGUCCAGG
rnacentral:rRNA from 1 species